rnacentral:pre_miRNA from 1 species
CGAACAACAUUCGGACCGUCGGUCUACCGAGCAAUAUUACCCGCUCGGUGGAAGAUCUUCUCUCCGCCGUUAUA